rnacentral:rRNA from 1 species
UACGUAGGGUGCGAGCGUUGUCCGGAAUUAUUGGGCGUAAAGAGCUUGUAGGCGGUUUGUCGCGUCUGCUGUGAAAUUUCGGGGCUCAACCCCGAACUUGCAGUGGGUACGGGCAGACUAGAGUGUGGUAGGGGAGACUGGAAUUCCUGGUGUAGCGGUGAAAUGCGCAGAUAUCAGGAGGAACACCGAUGGCGAAGGCAGGUCGCUGGGCCACUACUGACGCUGAGAAGCGAAAGCAUGGGGAGCGAACAGG